GAGGCCCGGAGAGCGCACCAGGAGAGGGGUUGCAGUCCGUGCGGGUUUGGCUCCAGUGGUCAAAGCAGGGAAGGCGGCCUCGGGGACCUUCUGGGAGCAGAGUCCAGCCAAGGGUUUCCCUCUCUUUCUGUCCCGCUUCAACCCUAAAACAGCGGACCGGUCUGAAACCCGAAGGACUGUAGGGUCCCUUCCCCAGCCCCCACCACUUUUUUUCCUCCCUAGAAGAACUUCAAGAUUACAAAUAUCCGUCUCAUUUGAUGCGGAAUUACUCGUGGACAGAUAAGAAAAGUGCUUUUGAUAUCAAUAACCUGAGGCAAGUGAAGUGGAAGUUUCUGGAUAUGUCAGGUGAUGCAGAUUUGACUCACACAGUCUUUUGCUGAUUCAGACUCAAGUGCUAUUUUGCUGAGGCAAGACCCCUGGGAGGACAUAUGAUGUCUGAAGAGAAUAUAAAUAGGACUCAACGGAUAGUGAUGGAGUGCUUGCAUAGCUAGCUUUGCAAUGCUUUGGUGGUCUCAGUCUUCCUCUUCACUUCAUGGAGAUUGGUACGUCAGAUAUCUUCUCCUGUCAUCCCUGCUGGACCUAGUCACUCCUGUUGACUCCUGACAAUUUGGUGGAGGCCUGGCAGUUUCUGCUGGACUGUGCCACUGCUGCUGAGUCAUGCUUGAUAUCCUGACACUACUGAACUGGAAUGCUGGUAUCCUACAACGGAGGUUGGAAUUACCUCAAGGAACUACUUCUAAACAGGUCCACAUCCCCAUGUCCUUUUUGCCAUAUUUUCUCCCCUACCUUUAGGUGGUGGGAUAGAACGGGGGAGUUGAAGCAUUUGUAAACCCUUACUAAAAGUUGUUUUCUUUUAAAAAACUUAUGCCUAUAGGCAAGAAAUCCUGAAACUAUCUGACAUUGCUGGGCAACUUCUGUUGGUUCUUCAACAUUCUCUUUACUUUUUCCUUCUAGUUUUCAGAGCCUAGGGUUGGCAUGAACGGUUUCAGAAUUCUACAGUAGACAUGCUUUCUUUAUUAGCAUGUCCAGAAUGGGUCAAGGUUGGUUUGGCUGUUGAUUCCUAGGGUCCCAGUGGGCUGGUUGCAAAUCAAGUCUAUUCUCACAAUUCUCUUUCUGGGUUCAGGUAACCAUGUCCUUCUCUCUCUUUGGGGCAUUGUACUUCCCCUUGUGACUUACUUAAAACCCUGCUCACACCUUUUAACUGUAGUUCUUUUCUUUAUUAAGUUCUCAAAUUACCCAGUUUGAUCUUGCACAAUCUGCUUACUGCUGGACUCUGGUACACAUGCUGCAUUUGGAGGACUAACAUUAAGUGAGCUAAUACAUGCAAACUCCCUUGCAUUUAGCAAAAGUUUAAUAAAUAAUAUACUAUGUUAUUGUUUUACAAUCAUUAUUUGGUACAACUUUCCUAUUUUAUAUGAGAAGAAAUUAAGUCCCAGAGCAGGUAAUUAAUACAUUCUAGGCCUAAUUAACUUGAAACAGUAACAACCCAGGGACUAAAUCCCUGGACUGUGGCCUCAACAUCACUGUUCCUUACAUAAUAUCUUGUUGAGUAAUACAUGUGUGUGUGUGGGGUGUCUUUUUUUGUAGGUGCAGGGAAAAGAGGAGAUGAGCUAGGGUCUGAAGCACAUGAGACAACACCUUCCAACUACUGGUAGCUUUGCUUCUAAUAAAUUACUGCUGAAAUAAAGUAUGUCUUGGCAAUAUAGAUCCAGUGAUUUCACAAUGGAUAGAACAGGUAUGCAACAGGGCAAGAGAUGCAUGCUUGACAGGUUAAAAACAAAUUUAUGAGCACAAAUUGGAAGUUUUACAAGGGAGCAUAAUAAUGUGUUCCAGACAUAUAAGAUACAGCAACAUUAAUUUUCAAAUAAAGGCUGAAUUGGAGAUUAGCAGCAUGGGUUACAUACAAAUCUCAUAAUUCUUUAGAGCACAAUGAUGUGCUAUGAACGCCUCUAAGGAACAUAGCACCAAAUCCUAGCCCACAGACACGGGGCAGUUUAAUCACACUAAUAAGGUGAAAGGAAUUAUUUACUCAUUCAUUUCUAUUUUAAUGCAACCAUUCAAAGAAAUGCUGAGUUUCCUUGUUCCUCAAGAACACUUACAGGUGUUGACAUAUGAAGAGUGAUUAAAUGUGUUUGGAUUCAACAGGCUCAUAAAAGGAAAUAGAGGUAGGUGUCUAGGCAGACUCUGGGAGGAAGCAAGGUAGAAAGCCACCAAGACUGGUACAGGAACAUUGAAGAGGCUACGGAGGGAAAGUGAGAGUGAAGGAGACUUCUUGGGAAAGAUUGAAGAAAAGAGCAGCGCCUCUCCACUCAACUAGAAUUUGGUCUUCUAAAUCCCUCAAAAAGUUAUCAGUGAUAUCAACUUAUUAAUAUUUAGCUUUUUACUAACCUAAGUAUUAGUAAUAAAAUAAAAGUGUAAUAUUGCAAUUUUACUCUACUGUAGCAGGUUGACUGGGGUAUAUGUGGAACUGAGAAAAAUUUAAAUAAUGUUUCCCUUGGUGACUAGAGUGUAUAAUAGGAAAACUGGGCUAAAUUUAAAAGGUGAUAUUAUACACAGACUCCGUGGAAAAUGUCACCUUACAAAAAGAUUGCAUUAGCGUACUAUACCAAUUAGGUCUUAUUUAUAUAGUAAGUUGGACUAAGCUCAGCACGGAUUUAAAGAUAUAGCUUAAAAAAUGAUUCAGAACUUAUGCCUGGAGGAGAAUUAUAAAACAAGACUGUUUAUUUCUGAAUUCAGGAUGCAUUCAUACACAGUUAUACAUGUUAAUAAAAAUAACGCAAUCUAAAUCAGUUCUUUCUACAUACUCGUUACAAAAUCGAUCACUUCCAUCUCAGCUGUGAUUGAUGUCUAAGUCUGACGUGCCUUGCCUUUACGGUGCUACCAAGCUGGCGUGAUUUUUCCAUGGACGUAAUAGAACCCUGGUAAGUACCCACUUCUGCUGGACUUAAUUGUCCCCAUCCCACAUCUCAAAAGCCAUCUUUAGUCAUUAAUUACACAUUAAUUAAGUGUGCAUAUAUGUCCAUAUGUAUUAUGCAUGUGCUCUUCUAUUUUAGCUACAGACAAUUAUCUCAACAACCUGGAACUUAUAAAUUAUCUUUGAGUCUCUUAAGUGUAAAGAGUUGAGUUUUUCUUUCUCCUAAUCUAGUGUGUAUGUUCUCACCCCCUCUUACAGUUUACUAUUCUUUUAGCAUUGUGACUUAUUGUGGGUUUUUUUUUUUUAUUAGUUUCUGUCAAUUUAUAAGACAUAUUUGAUUUGCUUGUCUUCUACCCAGUGAAGCACUAAGAAGCAUAUCAUCUACUGUAUGUAAUUAUGUUUUCUUUUAUUAAAAAAUUUAAAUGG
rnacentral:lncRNA from 1 species